CCAAAUAUAGUCACAUUCGGAGGUGCUGGGGUUUAGGACUUCAGCACAUGGAUUUGUCGGGGCGCAGGUUCAGUCUGUAGCAGAUGGCUUCUCUCAGGGAGCAAGGGGCCUGGGUGGAGCCUGACCCCCACUUGGACAAACAUCUUGCGGCUGUUUCCGCCUGGCCUGCCCAGAGCCCCAGCCCGGCCUGAACAAACACUCGAGACCUGCGCUUCCGGCCUGGGCUUUGGGAAAAGCCCAACCAGGGGCUGCUGAGGUCAACCCUGGAGAAAAGUGGGAAGGAGGUGACCCAGGCCCCCGCACGGGAUCUGCCCAGCCUGCCCUGGGGGCCUCCUGCUGCUUCUGGGGCCACCAGCGCAGUGCUUGGGCUCCAGGGUCCCCGUCUGUAGAAUGGGCCUAAUUAGACCCACCUCAGAGGACUGUAGGGGCAUGGAGAGCGCCCGGCGCUGGGCUGGCCCUGAGAGGGGGCAAUGCUGCCCACCGCGCUGCAAAGGACCUCAGGGAGUAGGGCGCCAAAGGACUCCCCCAAGGGACCAUAGUGCUAGGAGGGGCUAGAGUUUACCCUCCCUCCUGUGGCCUCCCCAUUCUUGUUCCCAUUUUCUGAAGUGUCUCAUGGAGCUGCACCUCCAGUCCUGUUCCUGUCACUUCAGAGCUUCCCGGUGUCCCUGUUAGAGAUUAGGAACCAGCUAGGGUGCAGGCAGGAAUGGACAUUUCUGACAAUGUAAAAUAUGUGAAAAUAGUUGACUGUGGGGAGUGAGCUCCCCAUCCCUGGAAGUGUGAGCAGAGGGAGCUGGACAUGCAGGAGGUGACCUCACCAAUAUUUCCUCCUCAUUAACUGCUCCUGGAGCCCUGUGAACCGUGGCAUGAACCAGGCAAGCUGGUGGGUUCUGGGGUCAGAAAGACCCUGGUUCAAAUCCCAGCCCUGCUGUGUGACCAGGCCUCUGGGUUUUAUGACUGUGAAGGGGAGGAGGGCCCUGCCUCCUCGGGCUGCCUGGGGACUAAGUGAAACGAUAGGGAAGAGCACCAGCACCCACAGCGGCCGGUCACUGUGGAGGCGGGCAGAGGCCCGCCGAGGGAGGCCAGGUCUCCUUUCUCCACCUCUGGGGGCCCAGGCGGGUUCACCAUUCACCCUCCUAGUUGAAUGCUUUGCCAGAUAAAGCCUCCCCAGCUGGGGUUUGAUUUUGUUGUUGUUUUUCAAGCAGGAUCCGGGAGUGGAAACAAUGGAAU
rnacentral:lncRNA from 1 species